CACGUAGUUAGCCGGGGCUUAUUCCCGAGGUACCGUCACUAUCUUCCCUCGGAAAAGGGGUUUACAACCCGAAGGCCGUCUUCCCCCACGCGGCGUUGCUGGGUCAGGCUUUCGCCCAUUGCCCAAAAUUCCUAA
rnacentral:rRNA from 1 species